rnacentral:rRNA from 1 species
AUACGGAGGGUGCAAGCGUUACUCGGAAUCACUGGGCGUAAAGCGCGCGCAGGCGGCUAUUUAAGUUGGAUGUGAAAGCCUACGGCUCAACCGUAGAACUGCAUCCAAAACUAUUUAGCUAGAGUGUGGGAGAGGAAGAUGGAAUUAGUUGUGUAGGGGUAAAAUCCGUAGAGAUAACUAGGGAUACCAAAAGCGAAGGCAAUCUUCUGGAACACUACUGACGCUGAGGCGCGAAAGCGUGGGGAGCAAACAGGAUUAGAAACCCUAGUAGUCC